AAAACCCAAAGGCGAAAUGAAAGUAAAUAGUGGAAUAUUGAUUUAUCAAUUUCCCUAUAGGGAAGAUGGAACGCCUGUAUUAAUUAUAAUUUUAGCAUUUAUGUUAUCUAUUAUGGUUGAUAUUGGCUUCCCGCACUCCCGGGGCGCUUGUUUCACGCUUUGCGAGUCACUGCGCACCUAGAGCGUACACGAUGAUACCCGAAAGAUGGUGAACUAUGCCUGGCCAGGACGAAGCCAGGGGAAACCCUGGUGGAGGUCCGCAGCGAUUCUGACGUGCAAAUCGAUCGUCGGAGCUGGGUAUAGGGGCGAAAGACCAAUCGAACCAUCUAGUAGCUGGUUCCCUCUGAAGUUUCCCUCAGGAUAGCUUGCGCUCGGUUGAGAAGAGUCUCAUCCGGUAGAGCGAAUGAUUAGAGGCAUUGGGGUCGAAACGACCUCAACCUAUUCUCAAACUCCAAAUAGAUGAGACCCCCGGCUUUCUUAAAAAUGAAGCCGUGGGAUUCGGAUCAGAGUGCAAAGUGGGCCAAU
rnacentral:rRNA from 1 species